GGUAGCCGAGUGGUAUAGGUAUCGGACCGUGGCUUUUGCUUUGUCACGGGUUCGAACCCUGUACCA